GUCGCUAGGAAGCACUUACUGAAACACCUACAAUUUUAUCAUGAAAAUUUUCUUUGGAUACAUUUUAUUUGUACUAUUGAUGCUCGUUGAAGCAAAUUCUAAAUCAAACUGCAAAAGUUUUGUCGCUCAAUUUCUUGUACGAGGCGUGCCAGUACUAUGCUCAGCGGGUGAUAGUCUAUGUGAUGUGCACUGCACCUGUGUCCACAAUGCAACUUAUGGCAAAUGCAUUGAUUACCCAACCGACGAUUCCAAAAUAUAUGUACCUCAACCAACGCCUACGAAAAUGUGCACUUGUGACUACAUGCGUCCGAGACCCAGUAGUAUGACAGUGCCAGUAACACGCGAAAACUGUUUAUUACAGUACGUACCUCUAUAUAAUCAACUGAUCUCACCAUUGUGUUCAAUCUUUUGCAACGACGAUUGUAUCUGCGCUCACGGCUUUGAAUCAGGAAGUUGUGUAGCUCCUUUUUGCGUAUGCAACGGAAAAGGGCCUUUGAACUAACUAACGAUGUUUACCUAAAUACUGAUACUAACUUACAAUGUAAGUCUUACAUAUAGAUCUAGACAAUAAUUGUUUGGAAAUAAAGAAUUACGAAAGGG